AACGGGCCGGAGAUGAUCGCUGCCUUCUUCGGAAGGGAGAGGAAAGUCCGGACACCGAACGGCAGCAUGCCCGGUGAAAGCCGGGGCGUUCCGCUGUAAUGGCGGAGCGACGGAAAGUGUCGCAGAAAACAUACCGCCCUCCGGAUCCCCCGGGAGAAGGAUGGCAAGGGUGAAAAGGCGAGGUAAGAGCUCACCGCCCCGAGGGUGACCGAGGGGGCAGGACAAACCCCAUGCGGUGCAAGACAGAACAGGGUAAACGGGCAGCCGGUCCGGCCCCGAGGCUCCGGCCGAGGGAUACACCCGGGUAUUAGUCGCACCCCGCUUCGGCGGGGAGUUUCCGCCUCACAGGGGACGGAGACUAGAGAAAUGAUCGUCCACCCCGGUCGAACACGGCCCGGAUGAACAGAAUCCGGCUUACGGCGGCCCGUUCCAA
rnacentral:RNase_P_RNA from 1 species